rnacentral:rRNA from 1 species
GUCUUUUUGUAAGUAUAAAAAGUCCGGUCUGCCCACUGAUGAGUAUAUUAAAGGGCCGCAGUAUUUUAACUGUGCAAAGGUAGCAUAAUCAUUAGUUCUUUAAUUGAGAUCUUGAAUGAAUGAUUAGACAAAAAAAUUACUGUCUUUAUAAUAAUAAUUGAAUUUAACUUUUAAGUGAAAAGGCUUAAAUAAUUUGAAGUGACGAUAAGACCCUAUAAAGCUUAAUAUUAUUAUAAAAUUUUUGGUAAGUUAGAUAUAAAAUUUUAAGGUUUAUUAAUAUUUUAUUGGGGCGAUAGAAGUAAAAAGUUUAAUAACUGCUUUUUUUUUAAUCAAGUAUGAAUGGUUAGUGUGUAAAUGAUCUUAUUUUAUAGAGUAAAAGAUUAAGUUACUUUAGGGAUAACAGCGUUAUUUUUCUUAAGAGUUCUUAUCGAAAGAAAAGAUUGCGACCUCGAUGUUGAAUUAAAAUAUCUAUAUAAUUGUAGUAGUUAUAUGAGAAGGUCUGUUCGACCUUUAAAUUUUUACGUGAUUUGAGUUCAGACCGGUUUAAACCAGGUCGGUUUCUAUCUUUUAAUUAAAUUGUAAUUAUUUUA